AGUGAACGCUGGCGGUAGGCCUAACACAUGCAAGUCGAACGGCAGCACAGUAAGAGCUUGCUCUUACGGGUGGCGAGUGGCGGACGGGUGAGGAAUACAUCGGAAUCUACUUUUUCGUGGGGGAUAACGUAGGGAAACUUACGCUAAUACCGCAUACGACCUACGGGUGAAAGCAGGGGAUCUUCGGACCUUGCGCGAUUGAAUGAGCCGAUGUCGGAUUAGCUAGUUGGCGGGGUAAAGGCCCACCAAGGCGACGAUCCGUAGCUGGUCUGAGAGGAUGAUCAGCCUCACUGGAACUGAGACACGGUCCAGACUCCUACGGGAGGCAGCAGUGGGGAAUAUUGGACAAUGGGCGCAAGCCUGAUCCAGCCAUACCGCGUGGGUGAAGAAGGCCUUCGGGUUGUAAAGCCCUUUUGUUGGGAAAGAAAAGCAGCAGGUUAAUACCCCGCUGUUCUGACGGUACCCAAAGAAUAAGCACCAGCUAACUUCGUG
rnacentral:rRNA from 1 species